rnacentral:lncRNA from 1 species
UGCUGGAGGCUGAGUCAGUCCCGGCACGGCACGAGAGCUGUGUCCCAAGGGGCUCCCUGCCAGACACCCUGGCCCCCAAUCAAGGCCAGGGCCAGGCACGGGGCUGGAGAGGUGGCGGGGUGCAGGAGCCAGGCUCCAAGGCUACAGCAAGUCCCAGCAGAGUGGGGCGGCCCAGUGAGAUCACGUGUCUGCACCCAACUCAUGGUGCUGGGCAGUGGAGAGGAGCAGCAUUACAAAGGGAGGCUGAAGGCUCAUCCCUCAGGGAACCGGAGCCCCCCAGCCUGUGGGGCUUGUGUCAGCCCUGAACAGAGGGCAGAAGUUCAAGGGGACUGAAGAUGCAGGUAGUUCCCAAGUGACCUAGGAGUCCCCAGAGCUGGGGGGUGUGGCCUUCAUAGGACAAGGAGGAAGACAGGAGGAUCCAACCCCAGCAUGGAGGGGGGAGUGGGCAGUCUCCCCAAUUUGGCCCCCCUAGGUCAGUUCCACGUUGUUGGCACGGUCAAGCACUCGGGAGCCACGGGCACUACCCCCAAGCUGGAAACGGCUCUCAUAGAGAGUGGGGCAGAGGUGCCAGCGAUUGGCCCGGUAGAUGCCCAGGUAGGUGUAGACAUCAGGCUUGUAGGUGAGCAGGCACUUAAUGCCCGCUGCACGGAUGGCUGAAUCCGCCUCCAGUACACCCAAGCGGUC